AUAAAAGCUCUUCCUCUUCAUAUAUACACUCUAUGUACGUUCCACUAUCAUUAUUAAUAAAUGUGAAUAAUUUUAAUGAGCAGUAAUUUCUCUACUAAAUUUUAAGCUGAUUUAGUAAGAAGUUUUUACAGAGUAAGUUGUAUUUAGCGAAACCCUAUCAACUCCAUUUGCCCAAUCAAUAAGAACCCUCUUUCUUUCAGCCAUAUUAAAAGGCCUAAUAAAAUCAAUUUAAAAACUUACUCAGAACGUCCAGUAUCUCAUCAUGAUGAAUCAAAUUAAAGGAAAUGAAACUGUUAUUGAUCUUGACGAUAUUCAAUGCACUCAAACCUUUAAGGAACGAAAAGACAUGAACGCGUCGUUAGAAGAUGACGAACAGUCCGAACUACAUCAAGAACGUCCACAUACCACGAAGGCUACAGUUACGGAAUCAAUAAUAGAUACGGCUCUGGAAAAAUAUUCUUAAGGUGUUCGAAUUACCGGAAAACCGGAUGUCAGGGUAAAGGUUACAAGUUGGUG